rnacentral:rRNA from 1 species
AGCAUGAACUUAGCUUGCUAAGUUUGAUGGCGACCGGCGCACGGGUGAGUAACACGUAUCCAACCUGCCGAUGACUCGGGGAUAGCCUUUCGAAAGAAAGAUUAAUACCCGAUGGCAUAGUUCUUCCGCAUGGUAGGACUAUUAAAGAAUUUCGGUCAUCGAUGGGGAUGCGUUCCAUUAGCUUGUUGGCGGGGUAACGGCCCACCAAGGCAUCGAUGGAUAGGGGUUCUGAGAGGAAGGUCCCCCACAUUGGAACUGAGACACGGUCCAAACUCCUACGGGAGGCAGCAGUGAGGAAUAUUGGUCAAUGGGCACUAGCCUGAACCAGCCAAGUAGCGUGAAGGAUGACUGCCCUAUGGGUUGUAAACUUCUUUUAUAUGGGAAUAAAGUGCAGUAUGUAUACUGCUUUGCAUGUACCUUAUGAAUAAGGAUCGGCUAACUCCGUGCCAGCAGCCGCGGUAAUACGGAGGAUCCAAGCGUUAUCCGGAUUUAUUGGGUUUAAAGGGAGCGUAGGCGGGUUGUUAAGUCAGUUGUGAAAGUUUGCGGCUCAACCGUAAAAUUGCAGUUGAUACUGGCAUCCUUGAGUACAGUAGAGGUAGGCGGAAUUCGUGGUGUAGCGGUGAAAUGCUUAGAUAUCACGAAGAACUCCGAUUGCGAAGGCAGCCUGCUGGACUGUAACUGACGCUGAUGCUCGAAAGUGUGGGUAUCAAACA